UCCUACGGGAGGCAGCAGUGGGGAAUAUUGGACAAUGGGGGGAACCCUGAUCCAGCCAUGCCGCGUGUGUGGAGAAGGCCCUCGGGUUGUAAAGCACUUUCAGCGAGGAAGAACGCCUAGCGGUUAAUACCCGCUAGGAAAGACAUCACUCGCAGAAGAAGCACCGGCUAACUCCGUGCCAGCAGCCGCGGUAAUACGGAGGGUGCAAGCGUUAAUCGGAAUUACUGGGCGUAAAGCGCGCGUAGGUGGCUUGAUAAGCCGGUUGUGAAAGCCCCGGGCUCAACCUGGGAACGGCAUCCGGAACUGUCAAGCUAGAGUGCAGGAGAGGAAGGUAGAAUUCCCGGUGUAGCGGUGAAAUGCGUAGAGAUCGGGAGGAAUACCAGUGGCGAAGGCGGCCUUCUGGACUGACACUGACACUGAGGUGCGAAAGCGUGGGUAGCAAACAGGAUUAGAUACCCUGGUAGUCCACGCCGUAAACGAUGUCGACCAGCCGUUGGGUGCCUAGCGCACUUUGUGGCGAAGUUAACGCGAUAAGUCGACCGCCUGGGGAGUACGGCCGCAAGGUUAAAACUCAAAUGAAUUGACGG
rnacentral:rRNA from 1 species